rnacentral:lncRNA from 1 species
AAUCCUUGUAUAACUAAGUAGACUAUUAUUUAUUCCAUUAAAAUUUACUAAAAUUAGAAAAUAUCAAAAAAUGGACUUAACCGCAUUAGUUUCUGAGCGACUCAUAUAUAGGUCUAUGAUUAUUUAUAGAUUAUAUUUCAUUUCAAAAUUUAAAAAAGUUUUGAUUUUUUAAGAAAAUUCUUUAUGGAGUACGUGAUUUGAAUAUGAAAUUCUCAGUUCUACAUUUGAAUGAGGUUUUUUUUUUUUAUUCCGUGUCUCAGUAGAUAUAAAUGAUUAUCUUUUAAUCACUAAACUUUUAAUUCAAAUAUAAAACGUGCGGUAACUCGGUGUAAUCCUGAGAGAGACAUCAAGCAUUCUAAGGUACAAAGCAACCCUUCACAAGCUAAUAACAGCAUUAGUCUAAGGAAAAAUUAUCUUUUCUUGUGUAACAAUGAAUUUUACUCGAUAUUUGCAUUUCAAAGAUAAAUUUUUUUUUUAGCCAUUACUUACCAAACAGAAAGUUAAUAUCCAAAAUAUCAUAGAGUGUAAUUUAAGCAUGAAAUCGCGAAAAGGUGAGAUAACGAUCUGAAAUUCGCCAUGUUAGGAUUCUUGGCGAUAAUUAUUUUAAAAAUUUGAAAAGUUUUGUUUAACUUAAUAUGAUUUUAUCUUUUGAAUUGCAAAAAAAUGAUACUUAAAACUCUAUUUAACCAUUAAUAAAUGAAUUCAUAAAUUUAAUAUUUACACUUCAAGUGAUAUUUUGGAUGGUACUUGAUACUUUUUAAUCACUCAAUUAGAUGAGAAAGAUCUUGGACAGAGAUAUGGAAGAGCACUUUCGUGCUACUAAAAAUCAGUUUACAUUAUAAAAAAAAAAAAACUUGAACAAUAACAAAGAUAUGAACAAUAUUCAUAUGCAAAUUUGUUCUUAUACAUACAGUAUUUUGUUUUUAUUUUGCAAUUGUUUGCUUGUUAUCUUACAGGAAACUUGGAACUCGCUAGUAGAAACCCAAAAAAUUUUUAUUUAUUUUUAUUUCUCUGCCAGAAUUUUAUUAUUGUUAUCAUUUUUUGUGUGUAUUUUUCUAGACUGGAACAUGAUGAUGUCAUUGAAUAUUCAAGUGCUGCAGUUGCGACUUUAAUAUUCAUCAUUUUUUUUUUUUUUUU